rnacentral:rRNA from 1 species
UAUCCCCUCGUCGUGCCUUGAAGAUCGGGAGUGCUUGCACUCUGUGAAAAACAAAGAUACAGGCUAGCGGGCGGACGGGGUGAGUAAACACGUGGGGAACCUGCCCCAGAGAUCGGGGAUAACACCCUGGGAAACAGAUGCUAAUACCCGGGAUAACAACAGAUGAUGCCCUAUCAACUGUUUUAAAAAAGUAUGGGUUCUGCUAUCACUCUUGGGAUGGGACCCUGCGGUGCAUUAGCUAGUUGGUAGGGUAACGGCCUACCAAGGCGAUGAUGCAUAGCCGAGUUGAGAGACUGAUCGGCCACAUUGGGACUGAGACACGGCCCCAAACUCCUACGGGAGGCAGCAGUAGGGAAUCUUCCACAAUGGACGCAAGUCUGAUGGAGCAACGCCGCGUGAGUGAAGAAGGGUUUCGGCUCGUAAAGCUCUGUUGUUGGUGAAGAAGGACAGGGGUAGUAACUGACCUUUGUUUGACGGUAAUCAAUUAGAAAGUCACGGCUAACUACGUGCCAGCAGCCGCGGUAAU